rnacentral:rRNA from 1 species
GAUGAACGCCGGCGGCGUGCCUAAUACAUGCAAGUCGAGCGAACGGACGAGAAGCUUGCUUCUCUGAUGUUAGCGGCGGACGGGUGAGUAACACGUGGAUAACCUACCUAUAAGACUGGGAUAACUUCGGGAAACCGGAGCUAAUACCGGAUAAUAUUUUGAACCGCAUGGUUCAAAAGUGAAAGACGGUCUUGCUGUCACUUAUAGAUGGAUCCGCGCUGCAUUAGCUAGUUGGUAAGGUAACGGCUUACCAAGGCAACGAUGCAUAGCCGACCUGAGAGGGUGAUCGGCCACACUGGAACUGAGACACGGUCCAGACUCCUACGGGAGGCAGCAGUAGGGAAUCUUCCGCAAUGGGCGAAAGCCUGACGGAGCAACGCCGCGUGAGUGAUGAAGGUCUUCGGAUCGUAAAACUCUGUUAUUAGGGAAGAACAUAUGUGUAAGUAACUGUGCACAUCUUGACGGUACCUAAUCAGAAAGCCACGGCUAACUACGUGCCAGCAGCCGCGGUAAUACGUAGGUGGCAAGCGUUAUCCGGAAUUAUUGGGCGUAAAGCGCGCGUAGGCGGUUUUUUAAGUCUGAUGUGAAAGCCCACGGCUCAACCGUGGAGGGUCAUUGGAAACUGGAAAACUUGAGUGCAGAAGAGGAAAGUGGAAUUCCAUGUGUAGCGGUGAAAUGCGCAGAGAUAUGGAGGAACACCAGUGGCGAAGGCGACUUUCUGGUCUGUAACUGACGCUGAUGUGCGAAAGCGUGGGGAUCAAACAGGAUUAGAUACCCUGGUAGUCCACGCCGUAAACGAUGAGUGCUAAGUGUUAGGGGGUUUCCGCCCCUUAGUGCUGCAGCUAACGCAUUAAGCACUCCGCCUGGGGAGUACGACCGCAAGGUUGAAACUCAAAGGAAUUGACGGGGACCCGCACAAGCGGUGGAGCAUGUGGUUUAAUUCGAAGCAACGCGAAGAACCUUACCAAAUCUUGACAUCCUUUGACAACUCUAGAGAUAGAGCCUUCCCCUUCGGGGGACAAAGUGACAGGUGGUGCAUGGUUGUCGUCAGCUCGUGUCGUGAGAUGUUGGGUUAAGUCCCGCAACGAGCGCAACCCUUAAGCUUAGUUGCCAUCAUUAAGUUGGGCACUCUAAGUUGACUGCCGGUGACAAACCGGAGGAAGGUGGGGAUGACGUCAAAUCAUCAUGCCCCUUAUGAUUUGGGCUACACACGUGCUACAAUGGACAAUACAAAGGGCAGCGAAACCGCGAGGUCAAGCAAAUCCCAUAAAGUUGUUCUCAGUUCGGAUUGUAGUCUGCAACUCGACUACAUGAAGCUGGAAUCGCUAGUAAUCGUAGAUCAGCAUGCUACGGUGAAUACGUUCCCGGGUCU